CCUGCCUUUAUCUGGGGGAUAGCCUUUCGAAAGGAAGAUUAAUACUCCAUAACAUAUUGAACGGCAUCGUUUAAUAUUGAAAGCUCCGGCGGAUAGAGAUGGGCACGCGCAAGAUUAGCUAGUUGGUGAGGUAACGGCUCACCAAGGCGAUGAUCUUUAGGGGGCCUGAGAGGGUGAUCCCCCACACUGGUACUGAGACACGGACCAGACUCCUACGGGAGGCAGCAGUGAGGAAUAUUGGUCAAUGGGUGCAAGCCUGAACCAGCCAUCCCGCGUGAAGGACGACUGCCCUAUGGGUUGUAAACUUCUUUUGUAUAGGGAUAAACCUACCCUCGUGAGGGUAGCUGAAGGUACUAUACGAAUAAGCACCGGCUAACUCCGUGCCAGCAGCCGCGGUAAUACGGAGGGUGCAAGCGUUAUCCGGAUUUAUUGGGUUUAAAGGGUCCGUAGGCGGACUUAUAAGUCAGUGUUGAAAGCCUGUCGCUUAACGAUAGAACUGCCAUUGAUACUGUAAGUCUUGAGUAUAUUUGAGGUAGCUGGAAUAAGUAGUGUAGCGGUGAAAUGCAUAGAUAUUACUUAGAACACCAAUUGCGAAGGCAGGUUACCAAGAUAUAACUGACGCUGAGGGACGAAAGC
rnacentral:rRNA from 1 species